rnacentral:rRNA from 1 species
GAUGAACGCUGGCGGCGUGCCUAAUACAUGCAAGUCGAACGAACGGACGCGCAUUUUGCUUUUGUGAUGUUAGCGGCGGACGGGGGAGUAACAAGUGGAUAGCCUACCUAUACUACUUGGAUAACUUCGGCAAACCGGAGCUAAUACCGGAUAGUAUUUUGAACCGCAUGGUUCAAUGGUGUAAGACGGUCUUGCUGUCACUUAUAGAUGUAUCCGCGCUGCAUUCGCUAGUUGUUAAGGUAACGUCUUACCAAGGCAACGAGGCAUGGCCGACCUGAGAGGGGGAGCGGGCACACUGGAAGUGAGACACGGUGCAGACUCCUACGGGAGGCAGCAGUAGGGAAUAUUCCGCAAUGGGCGAAAGCCUGACGGGGCAACGCCGCGUGAGUGAUGAAGGGCUUCGGAUCGUAAAACUCUGUUAUGAGGGAAGAACAGAUGUGUAAGUAACUGGGCACAUCGUGACGGGACCGAAUCAGAAAGCGACGGCUAACUACGUG